rnacentral:rRNA from 1 species
AUUGAACGCUAGCGGGAUGCUUUACACAUGCAAGUCGAACGGAGUGGCGGACGGGUGAGUAAUAUAUCGGACCGUGCCCAGUAGCGGGGGAUAACUACUAGACAGAGUGGCUAAUAUAGAAUACUAUUGGAUAGGACGAUAUCGGAUUAGCCAGUUGGUGGGUGAAAGGAUCAACAAGGCAACGAUCAGUAGCUGGUGUGAGAGGACGACCGGCCACACUGGUACUUAGACACGGCCCAGACUCUGACGGGAGGCAGCAGUGGGGAAUUUUGGACAAUGGGGGAAACCCUGAUCCAGCCAUCCCGCGUGUAUGAUGAAGGCCUUCGGGUUGUAAAGUACUUUUGGCAGAGAAGCGGUAUCUGCAGAAUAAGCACCGGCUAACUACGUGCCAGCAGCCGCGGUAAUAC